rnacentral:lncRNA from 1 species
CGGGUGCGCGGUCAAGGGGGAGAAGGGGCGCCGGAGACUCAGGAAUGUUUGGAGCGCGGACUUGUCCUGCUCCAUCACCUCUACAUCUGACCAUGCCCUGCGGGUGCCAGAAAACCAUCUCUGAGAAACAUGGGGUGCAGUACCUGCUUUGUAAGGUGAGGGGACCAAGGGUUCCUGCUUUGGAGACCCUAGGCCUGUUGUGGCUCCUAAGAAAGUGAUAUAAAUCGUUAACUGCCGUGGAAGAAUGCAUCCAUCAUUACAUUUUCACAAUACACGGUGAUCCCUAACUGUAUACUACCGCCUUUUCUAAUUUUGGGGUUGUUAAGAGUGUCAGUCAAGCAUUUAACAAAUAUGUAUUAUUUAAUUUCAUGCAUUCGUUUAACAGGUCUACCUGUUGUUUGCCAGGUGUUAUGAUACCCAAGAAUAGAGUUGAAUUAGAUGUAUUUAGAGAAUUUGCUUUUUAAUGUGUUAUCUAAGGUGAUUAUUUAACCCAUGACUUUCCUAAAGGUUUAAUUUGCUCUUGGUAGGAUGUCAUUGUCCGAUGGAGCAUAAGUUUGAUUUUAACGCUUCGUCGUAGAGUCCAAAAGCCCAAAUUAUGCUUUGAGUUUUAGUUUAAAUCUUCUUUACAAAAAUUUCCUGACAGUUCCCCUUGAUUUAGAUACUGUGUGAUGAAUGUGAAAGUUCUACAAAUGAGUUUUUUUUUUUUUACACUCUUGAUGAUCUCCUGUGGAAAGGCAUAAACAUCUGAAUAUGUUGGGAAUGUUUUUCAACGAUAAUAUGCUCUUUGAGAGUAUAGGCAGGUUUGAUGAACUCCAGGUAGUUUCCUCAGCAUUAGAAUGAAAUGCCCAUCCAGAAACCUGCAAUUUUAUUUGAAUUGUUUUUUUGUUUGUUUGUUUGUUUUUUCCAAACAGCAACAACUUCAAUAAAGCCUAUUUUGGGAGCACCACCAUGUUUCAGGCACUAUCCAGUUGCAUUUUUCAGGGCUCUGCAUGCCGAGCCAACCUGCUGCUUCUCGUGCCAUCCUCCUCCGCCCUCCUCAGGUGCCAUCAUCCUGCAGCAGACUUGGAUGCUCUGCAGGGAUGGACUCCUCACUGGAAUUCCCUUCAGGUGCAUGCGUUUCUCAAGAUUCUCCCACACUGUUCCUGUUGCCUGAAUAGCUGUUAAAUUCAUUUUUACUGUUGUAUGCACUGCAAGGUGCAAAUGCAUCCAGACGGAAGCAUCUUUUCAAUAUUAUGACAGGAAAACCUUAUUUUAUUUUCUCAAGUGUAUCUUGGCUAUUCUUCAGUCUUUGUUUUUCCAUAUACAAGUUAGAAUUAACUUGUCAAGGAGUUCCCGUCGUGGCGCAGUGGUUAACGAAUCCGACUAGGAACCAUGAGGUUGCGGGUUCGGUCCCUGGCCUUGCUCAGUGGGUUAACGAUCCGGCGCUGCCGUGGUGUAGGUUGCAGACGCGGCGCGGAUCCCGCAUUGCUGUGGCUCUGGCGUAGGCCGGUGGCUACAGCUCCGAUUGGACCCCUAGCCUGGGAACCUCCAUAUGCCGUGGGAGCGGUCCAAGGAAUAGCAACAACAACAACAACCAAAAAAAAAAAAAGAAUUACCUUGUCAAGUUUCACAAAAGAAAAAAAAACACUUUUGGGAUUUUUGACAGGUAUUAUCUUGAAUCAAUGAGUAAAUUUUUGAAGAACUGAAAUCUUUAUCAUUUUAAAGCUUUCUGUCCUAUUCUGAAUGGGUAACAGUUCUCUAAUUAUAUAGCUCUUUCCUAUUGUUCUUUGAUAAAGUUUUAUAUUUUUUUCAUGUAGAUGAGCACAUUUUUUGUUAAUUUAAUUCUUUUGUUUGUUUGUUUUUGCUUUGUCCGAAGCAUGCAGAAUCUCAGCCUAAUAUUUUCAAAGACUUGGAACCACUGAGUCAGUUUUUUUCAAUGGUCAUUCAUGCUUUAUGUGAGUUAAUUUGGAAUGUAAUUGUGUGAAAUAACUAACAUAGCAGGCCUGAGAUUGCUUUCCUUGCAAAGGUCAACUUGCAUGAUUAGCCUUUGCCUGAUAUCUGAGAACAUGGAUUUGGGAAAAGUUUCCACUUUUUCCCAACCUGAUAAGAGUGACUCAUCUUGCCCAAGCUAUUUGUAGAAACAAUAUGGUUUAAGCCAAUCACCCGCCUUCCUUCUAGAGUCUGGAAUUUGGGGAGAUGCCAGGCAGAGAGUACCUGUAUGACCAGUUCCCAGUGAAAACCUUGGGUACGGAGUCUCUCCAAGGCUUGCCUGGUAGACAGCACCUCACCUGUGUGGUCACAGCUCUUCCCUGGAGGGAUGUCUGACUCCCCUGGGGGAGGAUGCUCAGAAACUUGCGCUAGUUGCCUCCUCCCUCACCCCACGGCCUCUCCCUUCUACUCAUUUUGCUUUGUAUCCUUUUGCUGUAAUAAAUCAUAGUCAGGAGUGUGACCGUAGGCUGAG